rnacentral:rRNA from 1 species
GACGUAGGGCGCGAGCGUUGUCCGGAUUUAUUGGGCGUAAAGAGCUCGUAGGCGGCUUGUCGCGUCGGCUGUGAAAUCCCGUGGCUCAACUGCGGGUCUGCAGCCGAUACGGGCAGGCUAGAGUUCGGUAGGGGAGACUGGAAUUCCUGGUGUAGCGGUGAAAUGCGUAGAUAUCUGGAGGAACACCGGUGGCGAAGGCGGCGUUCUGGACUGCAACUGACACUGAAAAACGAAAGCCAGGGGAGCAAACGGG